AGCAGCCGUAUGAGGCGGGCGGCAGGAAGGGCGCGGCGGCGGCGGCGGCGGCGGCGCCGGGCGGGCCCUGCAGAGAGCUCUGGGAGACCUUUGCAGAACCACACCGGGGAGCUGGCAAGAGAUGAUGAAACACCAAACUGAAAUCAGUUUCAAGAGUGAUCAGUGAAAUUGGGAAUGAGUUCUUCAUCCUCAGAGGCAAGAUGGAAAAAAAUAUCUUUUCUCUUGAAGUACUCCAGCGUCUCCAUGCUCAAGAACAAUAAGGAAUUGACUAAGAGCAGCUCAAAUUAAAUUUAAGAUCUAGUAUCCCUCUCUUCCUUAGAGCCAAGCAUUUUUCUCCCUAUUCCUCCCAAUAAUAUGCUAAUGUAACAUCUCUUUUUUUCACUCAACCCUUGAUUUGUCCUGCAAAUGGCUAACAGAGAAUAUCUGGUGGUGUGCAAUAGAUGUUUUGCUGCUGUGAAUUUGGGAGGGGUGUUCUGUGUAUGUGUAUACAGGUUAAAGUAAUUUUAGUCCCUUACCUAAGGACAAUGAUGUAUAUUCCUCCCUCUCUGUAUCUGGUCAUCUACUGGACUGAAGUUCUGACACUCUAAUUUUGCCAGCUCUCCUUAUGAUGAGAUCAGAGGUUUUCAAACCUUUUCUUGAUUUUUCAGACUCUACCAUGUUUCCUGGGGAGGUGUCCUCAUCCCACCGUGUUCAGGCUACCCACAACAGGCUUGGUUUGGUUGUGUUUAACACAGUCUCUGUUAAACUCUGCAGGCUGCAAACCGAGGGUUUAAGUUUUGGAUUAUUUAUAUUAAUAUUUUCUCAGUCAGUGCUGUGUUGCUGAGUGUCAUGGAGCCACAAAACAAGGGGUAAAUCAUAGUUCAUCACAAGCUAGAUUGGUGCAGCACUUUAGGCUGCUGGGAGCAAAUCCUGGUUGAAAGGAGCAGUGUCUGCUCUGUGUCCACUUCUCCCUGGUUUUUGUGGCUGCUGUGCUCUCACAAGUGUUUCUGUGGCUGACUGGAGCACUAAUCCAGUUUGAGAAGAACACCCUCUUCCCAAUCCUUUUCUUUCCCCUCAGGUUAGCUUUAGCCUGGGCCUGCCUAGCCCCUUCCUGAGUGAGAGCUUGUUAGAGACUGAUUAGCUGAAGUUUGAUAAAAGCUUCAUUGUUUGCAACCCCUGUAAAGUACCCAGAGCUGUGCUCCCACAAGGAGUGGGAUUAAACAGACACCUCCGGAGUGAGACAGUUGCAAGUGGGAAUUUCAGAGUUUUGAGGGACUGAGGGAUGUGGCCAGGCUUCAGUAGCUCUGUGUAUCAGAAGUGAUUUCACCAAAACUGGGAAAGAAGCCUGAUUUUUGUGUUUUGGGGGGGAAAGGAACCUGGUGGGAGACAGAAGGAAGUCACCUGUUUGUGGCUGGAUUAAGCACACGCUCCAGGGGUUUGGAAACACGUUUGCAGAAGUUCUCAGCACCCUGCAUUCCUCCAGCCUCUCCUCAGGCUUAAGAUUCAUAAAAAGUAUUUUAAAAUCCCCACUCUGAUCAUACGAAUUUAAUCCUUCCUUGUUUUAUUUUUCCAACAGUAAAAAAGUCCACUUUUCAGG